AAUUAUGACGUUGCCACCUCAAUUCCUCAAGCUUAUCCUUUUUACCCUCUUUUCCCUUUCCUUCAUCCUUAAGUACUUCUAGAGUCUUUCAUCCUUAUCUAGACUUUAUGUAUUGCCCUAUCCUCCUUCUAGGAGCUUCCAUACCAAAUUGGGGCUUCCAUUUAAGCUAAUUUGGGCUGCUUUAAGCCCACCUAAACCCAUAAGACCCAAAACUGCACUCCACACACAUGUCUUCACUUUAAACAACCAUAACUCCUUUGAUUCUUAUAAGUUUUCAACCUAUUUCACCUUCACUUGCUCUUAGUGAUUUUUAUAACUUACUGACCAAAUUUGUCCCAAAUUGACCAUAUUUGGCAUAUGUAAGGUUUACUUAAGUCCCAAAAGGUCUAAACCGAAAAUAAAGUUAGCCCCAUACCUAUACCCUUACUUCAAAACUCCUUAUCACGUGUUCCUCAAGUAGCUGCGGGACGUGCGCACCAUCCACACUCACGCACGCAUGAGACAUGCGCACAACGAGCAUGUCCCAUCUGCACUCAUG
rnacentral:lncRNA from 1 species